UACUCAUUCAAUCAGCAGCAGAUGCAGUAGGAAGCAACCAACGCAUAAACAAAAAAGAAGGGAAGGAGAAACCAAGGUUCUAAAUUCGUGUAAAGAGGUUUUUGUUCAAACAACCUUUCUUUUAUCUUUUUCACAUACAUAAUCAUCUAUACCCAUUUCUUUUCUUCCUGUUACAGAAAUACCCAAAUAGAGCAUGUACAAGGAGAGCUCCUGUACAAGGUUCAGCAUCUCCCAAAUCUUUACUACACCAUGUAUUUCCCUUUACUUACCUUGUAACAGAUUUGUAUCUCUCUCAAUCCUAGACUUUACGGAAGGACCUAAUGAAUAAAAGCAAGAACUGAGAACAAGAGCAUUAUUUUUUAAGAAAUUUCAGAAACUCAAACUGCCCAAAAAUCAAAUCUUUCCAAAUCUGAGAUUUUUUCUUUUCGUUGCCUUGUUGAGUGUGAGAGACGAGAGGGAGACGGGUGCGAGCUGUCAAGGCCGCGGCUGCCGGCGCUGCAUGCGUUGCAGCAGCCCGCCGGCCACCCACGGCCAAGACAGAUGGGGUCGGAGCGAGGCG
rnacentral:lncRNA from 1 species